UGUGUAGGCGGUUGGAUAAGUGUGGUGUGAAAUCUCCCGGCUUAACUGGGAGGGUGCGCUACAAACUGUCUGACUAGAGUGCGGGAUGGGAAAGUGGAAUUCCUGGUGUAGCGGUGAAAUGCGUAGAUAUCAGGAGGAACACCGGUGGUGUAGACGGCUUUCUGGACCGUAACUGACGCUGAAACACGAAAGCGUGGGUAGCAAACAGGAUUAGAUACCCUGGUAGUCCACGCCCUAAACGAUGCAUAUUUGGUGUGGGUCAUUCAUUUGAUCCGUGCCGGAGCUAACGCGUUAAAUAUGCCGCCUGGGGAGUACAGUCGCAAGGCUGAA
rnacentral:rRNA from 1 species